rnacentral:piRNA from 1 species
UCAGAUUAUCAUCAAUUGUGUGUGUGGCC